UCUGACUGGAAUUACCGACGCUUGGCUCGGGGUUCGGCAUUACUAGGAUUUCAAACCUCUAGGCGCGCUGGCCCAGGGGCUUAAAGAGAAUCAAAACGCAGCAGGUUCCCAGGGCUUUCGGCAUUUUAAAAUCUUGACUGUUUUCCAGUCCACCCUGCAUCUGCCACGGGAAGUCAUCGACACUACCCAGCUAAGAGUGCUAAGUGUGGAGUAGGAAGAGUUUUUGGAAAACAUUAAGUGGAGGAGCAAUGGCUGCUCUUCAAGUUUCAACUGCAAAAGUGGACGGAAGAAAGAAAACCAAAAUUUGCUGAAGAUAGGUAUGCCAUCCAGGACUCCAGUUCUUCAUACCAUUAUCACCAAGUAGAUGUUCUCUCCCCCACGCCCCUCAAAUGAGCUCUUUCCUCAUCUUCCACUGUUUCAGUAGCCCGACACCAUUCCUGUUUUCCUACAGCCACUUACUUAAGCUGGACUUUCUGCAAGUCUCUUGGUCAUACUCCUGCAUGCACCAUCUCCACCCUCCACUGCCCAGGGAUCCCUGAGACUAGGAGUAUUGCGUUCAUUCUGGAUCCCGGCAUCUAACCCAAGAGGGUUGGAAGCAGUGAUUCUCCUGUCUAUCAGGAGGUGUUGGCCUUACUAAGGUGCUGACAGAGCCAGCAGAAGGAAUCUGAAUUCAGAAAGGAAGACACCAUGCCCUAUUGUGGUGAGGCUCUGAGGGAGAGUAUGGGCCCCCCGCACACUCUGGGGUCUAUUUAGAACUACUGUUAAGAGGCAGAGGUUGCCAAAUGUGGUAGCUCCUGUCUGUGAUCCCAGCAGUAGGAAGGCUGAGGCAUUGCUCAGGCCUGCCACACAGGGAGGCAAACAUCAGAAGGUGCUUCUUUAUUAUAGGCAUACCUGAAUCUGCCGGAAGUUAUUUAAAAGAAUACACCAUUCAGAAAACGCCUACUCUUUAUUACUAGUUAUAAACUAUGUGACUGUGAUACACUUUCUAGCUCCUGACAACAAACUGGUUUGUCUUGGUCCUGGGGCGAAUCAACAGUUACAGCCAAGGACUCUGGGCCAAGGUCCAGAACCGUGAACCCAGGAGACAUACCCCAGUCCCUUCAUCAGGCUGCACGUCUCCCGUACAUCCCCUGGCCUCCCCACUGACCCCUCAGCCAGGCUCCCAGCGGGGCUCCACACUGCAGGAUCCUUCCACUCUGAGCCAUCGGGCUCUCUUCUGACGUCUAUAGCUUUUUUUCUUUUCUCUUUUCUGACUGAUAACAACUGCUUUUUCUGGGCUCAGCUGAAGAUCCACCUUCCAACUUCUCUCCCAACCCCGGUGGUUAAUCGUCUCCCCUCCCUGAGCUGAAUUCAUGGCAAAGGAAACCACUCCACAUUUGGUCAUCUGGAUCCUGCAGUGGGGCUCUGGCUUUGCAGAACCACGCCACACAGGCCCAGUGUAGUGUGGGCUCAGGAUGACAAGCCAGAGGCAUUGGAUACCUACAAGAGGACGAAGCCUAGAGGCCCCCUCCCCUCCUUAGAGAAGCAGGAAGAACACUCUCCAGGAGGCAGACACACCAGGGCAGCAGUGAAUCUCAUCUGCCACAGGCCCUGGCAUCUGGACCUUGCUCAAGUGCAAACCUGGGUCAAACUCCUUCUUGAAAGACCUUUCCUCUUCCCUAUUUCCCUGUGCAUCCAGUCUGUGCUCCAUCCUACCUACAGAGAAAUGCAGUGUGUCUGCCAGGGUACCUACCACAUGUUAGUAUGCCCAGAUUCCCUGGAGUCCUGGGAAGGUCCCAGAGCCAUGUCCACCUCACUAACAUGGCAGAGCCUGUCCAGGAGACCUCUAUCCACCUGCUGCCUUAGAAAUGUGGGGAAGGGACAACACACACUUGGAGACAGAAGAAUGGGGUACAAGAUCUCAUGGGUUCACUGGUGAGCCAAGGACACACAAAAUGGGACAACCAGCCAGCAGUUCAAAAUCCUCCCCUGUCAUCCCCAGAGACAUUGUAUCCUGGGGACAAUGAGUACACAUCAAAGAGCAAUAGAACAAACUAGAGAAGAUGUAUUGGAGGUGCUUGACCCAAAGUACAUGGUAGAAAAACAGUUGUUACCACCAAGAUGGAUGGAUGAAGGACAGCAGCCUGGGUGUUUUCACCCCUAACACCGUUCUAAGGGACAUUGUGCCUCAUCGAACCUGCCUCAGCAUCUACUGCAUCUGGGAGGAAGCCCAGAGCCAAUGACCUCAAGGGGAGGGCGUCAGUCUACAAGUUCCACCACCACCUCUGCACUGGCUACAGAGGUCAAGACAACGGUCAGAGCAACAGGUUAGGGCCAACUGUCAAUCUCUGACAGGCACAUCUGGGGGCUUCUUUGUCAACAACAGAUGGUGACUUCUGACAUCGUAGCAGGGUGUUCCACCAGCGCUGAGGAAACAUGCUCCAUUUCCCCUGUUUUCUCCCAUCAUAUACUUCCUCCCCCCCCCCGCCCCCAACUUAGAGAAGUCAAGAAAAACUGCUUUUCCUGCAGAUCUCACCCCUACUGUGAGUCUCCAGCCCUUUGCUAUUACACUUUCUAAACACAUGCGUUUUGUUCCCAAGCCACCCUCCUAUGGCAUUCUGACCCAGAGGCCCAAACACACCAGGACAUCCACUCAAAUACUGUCUCACCCCCCCCCCAUGGGAAAUAGUUCUAGGAAAAGGGUGGUGGGAUAGAAAAGCAA